UACGAAGGGGGGCUAGCGUUGCUCGGAAUCACUGGGCGUAAAGGGUGCGUAGGCGGGUCUUUAAGUCAGGCGUGAAAGUCCUGGGCUCAACCUGGGAACUGCGCUUGAUACGGCAGAGCUAGAGGAUGGGAAGAGGGUCGCGGAAUUCCCAGUGUAGAGGUGAAAUUCGUAGAUAUUGGGAAGAACACCGGUGGCGAAGGCGGCGACCUGGUCCAUUACUGACGCUGAGGCGCGACAGC
rnacentral:rRNA from 1 species